rnacentral:rRNA from 1 species
GUUGGGAAUCUUGGGCAAUGGGCGCAAGCCUGACCCAGCGACGCCGUGUGGGGGAUGAAGGCCUUCGGGUUGUAAACCCCUGUCAUGAGGGACGAAGCCGCAAGGUGACGGUACCUCAGGAGGAAGCCCCGGCUAACUACGUGCCAGCAGCCGCGGUAAGACGUAGGGGGCAAGCGUUGUCCGGAAUCACUGGGCGUAAAGCGCGUGUAGGCGGUUUGGUCAGUCCCGUGUGAAAGCCUCCGGCUCAACUGGAGGACGCCGCGGGAUACUACCGGACUCGAGGACAGGAGAGGGAAGUGGAAUUCCCGGUGUAGCGGUGAAAUGCGUAGAUAUCGGGAGGAACGCCAGUGGCGAAGGCGGCUUCCUGGCCUGUUCCUAACGCUGAGACGCGAAAGCUGGGGGAGCAAACGGGAUUAGAAACCCUUGUAGUCC